rnacentral:rRNA from 1 species
UACCGACGGCUCGAGUGGUGGCCACUAUUACUGGGCUUAAAGGGUCCGUAGCUUGAUAGUUAAGUCCCUUGAGAAAUCCACCGGCUUAACUGGUGGGCGUUCAGGGGAAACUGGCUUUCUAGGGACCGGGAGAGGUAAGAGGUACUGCCGGGGUAGGAGUGAAAUCCUGUAAUCCCGGUGGGACCACCUAUGGCGAAGGCAUCUUACCAGAACGGCUCCGACAGUGAGGGACGAAAGCUGGGGGAGCAAACCGGAUUAGAUACCCGGGUAGUCCCAGCUGUAAACGAUGCGCGUUAGGUGUGUCAGUGACCACGAGUCACUGAGGUGCCGAAGGGAAACCGUGAAACGCGCCGCCUGGGAAGUACGGUCGCAAGGCUGAAACUUAAAGGAAUUGGCGGGGGAGCACCACAACAGGUGGAGCCUGCGGUUUAAUCGGACUCAACGCCGGAAAUCUCACCGGAUAAGACAGCUGAAUGAUAGUCGGGAUGAAGACUCUACUUGACUAGCUGAGAGGAGGUGCAUGGCCGUCGUCAGUUCGUACUGUGAAGCAUCCUGUUUAGUCAGGCAACGAGCGAGACCCACGCCAACAGUUGCCAGCUUGCCCUCCGGGGUGAUGGGGACACUGUUGGGACCGCCUCUGCUAAAGGGGAGGAAGGAAUGGGCAACGGUAGGUCAGCAUGCCCCGAAUUAUCCGGGCUACACGCGGGCUACAAUGGUCAGGACAAUGGGUUUCGACACCGAAAGGUGAAGGUAAUCUCCUAAACCUGUCCUAAGUUCGGAUUGCGGGUUGUAACUCACCCGCAUGAAGCUGGAAUCUGUAGUAAUCGCGUUUCAACAUAACGCGGUGAAUAUGUCCCUGCUCCUUGCACACACCGCCCGUCAAACCACCCGAGUGAGGUCUUGAUGAGGCGAUAUCAAAUGGUACCGUCGAAUCUGGGUUUUGCAAGGGGGGUU